CCUGAGGUGGGGGCUGUGGGUACCCUGCUGGGCCCUGGGGCUGCAGUAGGCGGGAAGGAGUGCAGACCUGAGGUAGGCUGCUCACUCAGAGUUGGAGCUUUGCUUGACACGGUUCCCAUGGGGACGGCUGUGGGCACACGCUACCUGUGGUCAGAUGCCCACAUUAAACCUGCCCUGUAGUUCUGGUAGCUCCUCUUGGGCUCAGGGCCUUUAGAAGAAAGACUGAGUUUUUGGUGCCUUAGCCUCUCAAACCUUCCCCACCCCAACCAAAGGUAGAUUUGAGAACUUGGGGCUGUGAUGUUUGUUUCAUGAAUAGAGCAUUCCCUCUGUGCCUGUGCCUAGAGACACUAAGAUGACUGAAAUGCAGUCACCAUCCUUAGGGAGGGGCAAGAAAGACAGGCCAUAGAGCUGAAAAUUACAACACAGUGCAGCCUGGCAACAGUGGAACCCAGUUCACUUGUGGAGAACACACAUGCUGCAGUAUCACGAGGCCCAUGAAGUGACUAGGCUGAGCCAACCACCCAGGAUGAGAGCCAAUGCCAACUCCUGUCUGUGCUGUGAGCUCCUUGCACAUGGUCAGUGCUGAGAUCCAUCAGCUCUGGGAAAAUUUCAGAGUAGGAGGGAGCAGCACUCCACGCAGAGGAAGGGGUUCCUGAAAACACUGGAUGCAAGAACAUUCCCCAUGAAGUCACAGCGUGUGAGGGUAGCUGGGCACACCUGAGGUGCAUCAGUGAGCAGCGAGCACACCAGAGUCGACAUCUCCUGCAUUUUCAGCAGCAGAAGGGAGUGCAGCCUACUUCACCAGUCUGCUUGCCACCGAACACUUGGCUGUUAAAAAAGAGCCCUUUAAAACCGUUUGAUGUUUUGGACUAAAUAAAGCUAUGCUCCCACUCCAAUUGAGCUUAUAAUGGAGUCUAAUUUUAUA
rnacentral:lncRNA from 1 species